UCGGAUUGUAGUCUGNAACCCGACUACAUGAAGCUGGAAUCGCUAGUAAUCGCGGAUCAGAAUGCCGCGGUGAAUACGUUCCCGGGUCUUGUACACACCGCCCGUCACACCAUGGGAGUCGAUAACGCCCGAAGUCAGUGACCCAACCGUUAAGGAGGGAGCUGCCGAAGGCGGGAUUGAUAACUGGGGUGAAGUCGUAACAAGGUACC
rnacentral:rRNA from 1 species